rnacentral:rRNA from 1 species
UGGCUUUUACCCAGUCUAGAACGCUGGGGGAAUAAGGAGAGGGCAAGUCUGGUGUCAGCCGCCGCGGUAAUACCAGCUCUCCGAGUGGUGUGGACGUUUAUUGGGCCUAAAGCAUCCGUAGCUGGCUGAACAAGUCCCCUGUUAAACCCACCGAUUUAAUCGUUGGUCUGCGGGGGAUACUGCUCGGCUAGGGGACGAGAGAGGCAGACGGUAUUCCCGGGGUAGGGGUGAAAUCCUAUAAUCCCGGGAAGACCACCAGUGGCGAAGGCUGUUUGCUAGAACGCGCCCGACGGUGAGGGAUGAAAGCUGGGGGAGCGAACCGGAUUAGAUACCCGGGUAGUCCCAGCUGUAAACGAUGCAGACUAGGUGUUUGGACGGCCACGUGCCGUUCUAGUGCCGCAGGGAAGCUGUUAAGUCUGCCGCCUGGGGAGUACGAUCGCAAGAUUGAAACUUAAAGGAAUUGGCGGGGGAGCACCACAAGGGGUGAAGCUUGCGGUUUAAUUGGAGUCAACGCCGGAAAUCUCACCGGGAGCGACAGCAGUGUGAAGGCCAGAUUAAAGGUCUUGCCAGACGAGCUGAGAGGAGGUGCAUGGCCGUCGCCAGUUCGUGCCGUGAGGUGUCCUGUUAAGUCAGGCAACGAUCGAGACCCGCGUCCUCUGUUGCAACCAGUCUUGAGCUGGGCACACUGAGGAGACCGCCACUGAUAAAGUGGAGGAAGGAGCGGGCCACGGCAGGUCAGUAUGCCCCGAAUCUCCCGGGCCACACGCGAGCUGCAAUGGCAGGUACAAUGGGUUCCGACCUCGAAAGGGGGAGGUAAUCUCGAAAGCCUGCCGUAGUUGGGAUCGUGGGUUGAAACUCACCCUCGUGAACAUGGAAUCCCUAGUAAUCGCGUGUCACUAGCGCGCGGUGAAUACGUCCCUGCUCCUUGCACACACCGCCCGUCGUUCCACCCGAGCGAUCCUUGGGUGAGGCGUGGUCUUCCUUGGCUGCGUCGAAUCUGAGUUUCGUAAGGGGGGAAAAGUCGUAACAAGGUGGCCGUAGGGGAACCUGCGGCCG